rnacentral:rRNA from 1 species
UGGGGAAUCUUGCGCAAUGGCCGAAAGGCUGACGCAGCGACGCCGCGUGUGGGAUGACGCCUUUCGGGGUGUAAACCACUGUUGCCCGGGACGAACAGCCCUUUUCGAGGGGUCUGACGGUACCGGGUGAGGAAGCACCGGCUAACUCCGUGCCAGCAGCCGCGGUAAUACGGAGGGUGCGAGCGUUGUCCGUAAUCAUUGGGCGUAAAGGGCGCGUAGGUGGCCUGGUCAGCGUGCGGUGAAAGCCUGGGGCUCAACCCCGGGUCGGCCGUGCGAACUGCUGGGCUGGAGCACUGUAGAGGCAGGCGGAAUUCCGGGUGUAGCGGUGGAAUGCGUAGAGAUCCGGAAGAACACCGGUGGCGAAGGCGGCCUGCUGGGCAGUAGCUGACACUGAGGCGCGACAGCGUGGGGAGCAAACAGGAUUAGAUACC